rnacentral:rRNA from 1 species
UUUUAUAGAGUAGAGUAAAAAUAUAUUAUAGGUGAAUAAAGUUAUAGAAAAAAUAAUAGUUUAAUUAAAUAAAAUAAAUUAAUUGAUAAUAAUUAUAAAUAAAAGUAUUGUAGAAGAAUAAGUUAUAAAUAAGAUAAAGUAAAUUUGAUUUGUUGUACCUUUUGUAUCAGGGAUUAUUAAAAUAAUGUUUUUAAAUAGGGUAAAGUUUCUCGAAGUUAGAAGAGUUAGUAGAAUAUUAUAGUUAAUGUGUAAUAAUUAUUAUAAAUAUUUUAUUAGAGAAUAUAUUUUAGUCAAUUUUAAGGAUAUCUAGUUUUUUUUAUUUAAAUUUAAUUUGGUUUUAAUUUUUAAUAUGACUUAAGUGAAUAUAGGGGUAUUAGUAUAUUAAAAUUAGAAAUUAUGGGACAAUCUAUAAUUUUUUUUAAAAUUAUAAUCAUUAAUAUUAUAUAAUAAUAUUCAUAAUAUUUGAAUUUUGUAAUAAAAAUUUAAUAAUUUAUAAGAUAAUAUUUUAAUUUAAUUUGUGUGAUUUAUAUAAGAUAAUUUAAUUUUUAAAAGAAAAUAUUUACAUAAAUAGUAAUAGUAAAGUAAUAAUGAUAGUAUUAGUAAAAAAUAAGGGUUUUGAGGUAUAAUUAAGUAAAAUUUAGUUUUAGUAAUUAGGCAAAAAAUAAGUUCACCUGUUUAAUAAAAACAUGGUUUUUUGAUAAUGAUUUAAGAUUGUUUCUGCCCGCUGAAGAUUAAUUUGAAUGGCUGCAGUAUAUUAACUGUACAAAGGUAGCAUAAUAAGUAGUUUUUUAAAUGGAAACUGGGAUGAAAGAAGUGAUGAAAUUUAUACUGUCUUAAAUUAAAUUUAUUAAAUUUAUUAACUAAGUAAAAAUACUUAGAUAAGAGUGUGGGACGAGAAGACCCUAUAGAAUUUUAUAUUAGUUUAUAAGAUAAGUUAGUAAGAAUAGUUUGUUAGGAUUAAUAUUUUAUUGGGAGGAUUAUUAAAUUAUAAAGACUUUAAUAUAUUAAAAUAUCAUAAAUUUAUGAGUAUUGAAGAGUGGUUUUUAAAUUUAAAUAGAAUUAAUUACCUUAGGGAUAACAGCGUAAUAUUUUUGGAGAGAUCUUAUUAAUAAAGAUGAUUGCGACCUCGAUGUUGAAUUAAGAUAAAAAUUAAAUGAAGAAGUUUAAUAUUUAAGUCUGUUCGACUUUUAAAAUCUUACAUGAUUUGAGUUUAGAUCGGCGUGAGCCAGAUCGGUUUCUAUCUAUAUUGGAAUUAAAAUUAUUUGUACGAAAGGACUUUAGUUUUUAAUUAGAUUAUUUUAGUUAAAGAGUAUUACUUUGGCAGAAUAGUGCAUUAAAUUUAGAAUUUAAUAUAAAAUAU